rnacentral:rRNA from 1 species
AUUGAACGCUGGCGGCAGGCCUAACACAUGCAAGUCGAACGAGUGGCGGACGGGUGAGUAAUGUCUGGGAAACUGCCUGAUGGAGGGGGCUAACUACGGGAAACGGUAGCUAAUACCGCAUACCAUCGGAUGUGCCCAGAUGGGAUUUGCUAGUAGGUGGGGUAACGGCUCACCUAGGCGACGAUCCCUAGCGGGUCUGAGAGGUUGACCAGCCACACUGGAACUGAGAAACGGUCCAGACUCCUACGGGAGGCAGCAGUGGGUAAUAUGGCACAAUGGGCGCAAGCCUGAUGCAUCCAUGCCGCGUGUAUGAAGAAGGCCUUCGGGUUGUAAAGUAAUUUCAGCGGGGAGGCGUUACCCGCAGAAGAAGCACCGGCUAACUCCGUGCCAGCAGCCGCGGUAAUUC